CCCGUUAUCCGUACAUACUUCAUAGUAGAGUGGCCUGUUAGUGAUUAUGAUCAGAGCAUGGGAUUUCUGGCACAUAAAUAUGUGUAAAUCCUUUUAUUGGACCCAACUGUAGUUGUGGGGGAUCGGAUCGUAAUCCGCCCUACCGAGUUCAGUGCCAGAUACCUCUGAACCAACUAACAGUGAGUACUGCUUUUCUUUUUCUUUUUCUUUUUCUUUUUGUAGCAAUUUUUUUUACAAUUCUUUGGUUUAAAUGACUUUGUGAGGGUCACCUAUACCGGAGUUGCCUUU
rnacentral:lncRNA from 1 species